rnacentral:lncRNA from 1 species
UGCAUGGUUUCCGGCAUUUGGCUGGGCCUUUGUCUCUCGCUCCCACCAGAGCUUGGAAUCCGUCUCUGCUCUUCUGCAUUCUCCACCUCGGGAGCCCCUGGGGACUCUGUGACGGCCUCUGUUGCCCUGUGAUCUGCAGGUCCGGAGAGACGCACAGCUAAGAUGUCAGGACAUCCUGGAAGCUGGGAAAGGGUCUUGCCAUCUCUAAGCUGGACCUGGUGACCUUUUUGGAGGGAAAGAAAGAGCCCUGGACUGUGAAGAGUGAGGAGACCAUAGCUGCACAGCCAGAGAUGGGGUUCCAUCAUGUUUUCCAGGCUGAUCUCAAACUCCCACGGUCAAGCGAUCUGCUGGCCUCGGCCUCUCAAGUCCAGAUGUAUAAUCUCAUCCCUGAACAUUUCUGAUGGUGUGAUUAUGACAUGUGACUUUAUCUGGCAACAGAGUGAGUUGUUGCUCCCGCCUGAGCCCAGCCCCCAGAAAGGAUUGUGACAUAUCGUUGGACCCAGAAUUGAGGCUCUGCAUAUUUGGGUAUUGUGACAUAUUGCUGAACUCAACACCUAAGGGAUGGGAGUCUCCUACCUAGGCCCUUCCUACAGGGGACAUUGUGACAUGUCUCUGCAUUCCUCAUCCAGGAGAUGUGACUCUCCUUUUCUGCCUACACCCUGCCUACACAGAAAGUUGUGGCAUAUUGCUGUGGUCAGCAACCAGAUGAUAUAUUUCUCCUGCCUGGGUCUUUAUUACAGGAAAGAUGAUUGACAUAUUACUGGGCCCAGCAUCCAGAUGAUGUGACUCUCUUCUUCUGUUGGUCCUUGCUUACAGGGAAACUGUAGCAUAUUGCUACACCCAACACCUAGCUUAUGUGAUUCUUCUUUUAGGUUUGCCUUCAGGGAACAUUGUGACAUAUUGCUGGGCCCUGCACUGAUAAUUUGUGACUCUUCUGCCUGUGAUUUGCCCACUUGGGGCAUUGUGACAUAUUGCUGGGUUUAACACUCAGGUGAUGUAACUUUUAUGCCUAGGCCUUGCUUACAGGAGGCAUUUUGAAAUGUCUUUGUGGCUGGGCAUGGUGGCUCAUGUCUGUAAUCCCAGCGCUUGGGGAGGCCAAGGUGGGCAGAUCACAAAGUCAGGAGUUCGAGACCAGCCUGGUCAACAUGGUGAAAACCUGUCUCUACUAAAACAAAACAAAACAAAACAAAACAAAACAAAACAAAACAAAACAAAACAAAUAAAACCACAAAAAUCAGCCAGGUGUGGUGAUUGGUGCCUGUAGUUGCAGCUACUCAGGAGGCUGAGGCAGGAUAAUCGCUUAAGUCCAGGAGGUGGAGGUUGCAGUGAGCUGAGAUUGCACCACUGCACUCCAUCCUGGGCAACAGAGUGAGACUCCAUCUCCAAAAAAAAUAAAAUAAAAUAAAAUAAAAAUACAAAUGUCUUUGCACCAAUCCUACAGGUGAUGUGACUCUCUUGUGUUACCUGGUCUCUGCCCCCAGGAAGAAUUGUGACCUUUCACAGCGUAUAGCUAAUUUUUUUCUUUUAUUUCUUAGUUUUUCUCCUGCAGGAAAGAUUGUGAAAUAUUACUGAACUAAGCACCAAAGGGAUAUAUUUUUUUUCUUGGACCUGCCCAUGUAAGACCUUGUGACAUAUUGCUGGGCCCUACACCUAGAUGAUGUGAGUUUUCUGCCCGUCAACUAUUUUAUGUGACUCUCCUCUCUUAUCUUCACUUUGUCCAUAGGUUAGCUUUUAAUAUACCUUUGGGCCUGGGUCAUGCUAAUAGAAGCAAGAGUGACUUAUUGUUGGGCCCAGCACACAGGGGAUGUGAUUCUUCUGCUUGGUUCCUGCCGAAAUGGUCAUUGUGACAUAUCUAUGGGUCAGUUGGCUAAAUGACAGGACUCUUUUUAUCUUUCUGGAGCAGUCCACAGUAGGAAAUUUGACAUAUCGCUGGGCCCAGCACAUAUCUGAUGUGACUCUCCUCUCAUGCCAAGGCCUUGCCUACUGUAGUGAUUGUGCCAUAUAGCUGGGCCCAGCUCCUACGUUAUCUGACUCCUGUUUUCUUCCUGAGCCCUAUGAAAAGAUUGCAUUAU